GACGAACGCUGGCGGCGUGCUUAACACAUGCAAGUCGAACGGAAAGGCCCUGCUUUUGUGGGGUGCUCGAGUGGCGAGCGGGUGAGUAACACGUGAGUAACCUGCCCUUGACUUUGGGAUAACUUCAGGAAACUGGGGCUAAUAACGGAUAGGAGCUCCUGCUGCAUGGUGGGGGUUGGAAAGUUUCGGCGGUUGGGGAUGGACUCGCGGCUUAUCAGCUUGUUGGUGGGGUAGUGGCUUACCAAGGCUUUGACGGGUAGCCGGCCUGAGAGGGUGACCGGCCACAUUGGGACUGAGAUACGGCCCAGACUCCUACGGGAGGCAGCAGUGGGGAAUAUUGCACAAUGGGCGGAAGCCUGAUGCAGCAACGCCGCGUGCGGGAUGACGGCCUUCGGGUUGUAAACCGCUUUCGCCUGUGACGAAGCGUGAGUGACGGUAAUGGGUAAAGAAGCACCGGCUAACUACGUG
rnacentral:rRNA from 1 species